rnacentral:rRNA from 1 species
GGUGAGUGUGACAAGGGCGUUCGGUGGAUGCCUUGGCGCCAAGAGGCGAUGAAGGACGUGGCACGCUGCGAAAAGCCGCGGGGAGAUGCGAGCGAUCGUUGAUCCGCGGAUGUCCGAAUGGGGAAACCCCUCCUUAGGGAGAUCCCGGCCUGAAUUCAUAGGGUCGGGAGGCGAACCCGGGGAACUGAAACAUCUCAGUACCUGGAGGAAAAGACAUCAAGUGAGAUUCCGCUAGUAGUGGCGAGCGAACGCGGAGCAGGCCAGUGGCCUCUGUGGGUUAAGCCGAAGCGUCUGGAAAGGCGCGCCGCAGCGGGUGAUAGCCCCGUAGGCGUAUGGCACGCAGGGGUCCUUGAGUAGGGCGGGGCACGUGAAACCCUGUCUGAACAUGGGGGGACCACCCUCCAAGCCUAAAUACUCCUUGGCGACCGAUAGUGCACAAGUACCGUGAGGGAAAGGUGAAAAGCACCCCGACGAGGGGAGUGAAAGAGACCUGAAACCGAGCGCCUACAAGCAGUCGGAGCCCGCAAGGGUGACGGCGUACCUUUUGUAUAAUGGGUGUCGAGUUGCCGGCAGAAGACCCGAAACCGAGUGAUCUAGCCAUGGCCAGGCUGAAGGUGGGGUAACACCCACUGGAGGGCCGAACCCACGCCUGUUGAAAAAGUCGGGGAUGAGCUGUGGCUAGGGGUGAAAGGCCAAUCAAACUCGGAAAUAGCUGGUUCUCCGCGAAAUCUAUUGAGGUAGAUCGUCCGUCGAUCACCCUCGGAGGUAGAGCACCGGAAGGGCUAGGGGGGCCCAAAGCCCUACCAAACCCUACCGAACUCCGAAUGCCGAGGAGUGCAGGCGGGCAGACAGACAGCGGGUGCUAAGGUCCGUUGUCGAGAGGGAAACAGCCCAGACCACCAGCUAAGGCCCCCAAAUGAUGGCUAAGUGGGAAAGCAUGUAGGACGGCCAUAACAACCAGGAGGUUGGCUUAGAAGCAGCCAUCCUUUAAAGAAAGCGUAAUAGCUCACUGGUCUAAUAGCUGUCCCGCGGCGAAAAUGUACCGGGGCUCAAGCCAUCUGCCGAAGCUGUGGAUGCACUAGCAAUAGUGCGUGGUAGCGGAGCGUUCCGUAGGCCUGUGAAGGGCGACCCGCGAGGGCGCCUGGAGGUAUCGGAAGUGCGAAUGCGGACAUGAGUAGCGACAAGGAGAGUGAGAAACUCUCCCGCCGAAAGUCCAAGGGUUCCUGCGCAAGGCUAAUCCGCGCAGGGUAAGCCGGCCCCUAAGGCGAGGGCGACAGCCGUAGCCGAUGGAAACCAGGUCAAGAUUCCUGGGCCCGCCAGAAGUGACAGCCGUGAAGUUCUGUCUCUCCUUAUCGGAUUGGAGGGGCAGUUGGAUCGGCUCGGGAAAUAGCUCUGGCAUAUGGACCGUACCCGAAACCGANNNNNNNNNNNNNNNNNNNNNNNNNNNNNNNNNNNNNNNNNNNNNNNNNNNNNNNNNNGGUGGACUGGUAGAGCAUACCAAGGCGCUUGAGAGAACGAUGCUGAAGGAACUAGGCAAAUUGCUCGCGUAACUUCGGGAUAAGCGAGACCCCUUUCCGGGCAACCGGGGUGGGGUGACACAAACCAGGGGGUGGCGACUGUUUAGUAAAAACACAGGGCUCUGCGAAAUCGAGAGAUGACGUAUAGGGUCUGACGCCUGCCCGGUGCCGGAAGGUCAAGGGGAGGAGUGCAAGCUCCGAACCGAAGCCCCGGUAAACGGCGGCCGUAACUAUAACGGUCCUAAGGUAGCGAAAUUCCUUGUCGGGUAAGUUCCGACCUGCACGAAUGGCGUAACGACCUCCCC